GAGGGCUCUGUUUCCGAGCUCCAAAGCCCAGAACCAGAGCUCUGUGCUGAGAGCCAUCCCAGCUGGGGAGAUUGCCCGUGCUUUAGGAUUUCUGCUGGCUGCAGGCUGCGUGGGAAGCAACCGGGGAGACCCUCCAGACACGCAAUGUGCCAAUCUCAGGAUAAGUGAGGGCUAAGGCCAUGAGAAUUGAAAGUAAAGAUCGCCAGGCGUGGUGGUUCGAGGCUGAGGUAGGAAGUUCUCUUUGAGUUGGAGGCCAGUCUGGGCUACCUAGUGAGACCAAGGCCAGCCUCAACUACAUAGCAAGACCCUGUUUCAAACAAUGAAACAAAACAAAAAAAAGAAAGAAAUGUUCGAUAUUUCUGAUCAUGUGAGUCCGGUGGUAGAGUGCUUGCCAAGCAUGCAGUGAACUCCUGUGUUACAUACACCGCAAUGCAAAAGCAAUUACCAUCUUAAUGAUUUGGGUGACACCUCCGUGAACGGAGAGACCACUUAAGUGCAGCCUUCUCAUAUUGUUUAGAAUGCGGAGAGAAAUGGUGAGGAUGUUAAUAUGUUAACAAGGGCAGGAGAAAGUGUUCCUGCUAAGGACUACUUCCAGAAGGGGCUGCCUGUUAUACACACAGUGUGAGAAUCAUUAAACUCGGGCAUCUACACAGAACAUGUGAUUUUGUAGGAGUGAAAAGGGAGAGAGGUAGCAUCUCAAAUAGCUGCUAUAGUCCUUGGACUGUAGACACUGUUUUAAGAAUUGAAAUGCUGAUUGAGGUGGACUUUAUAUUAAAGGAAUAUUGUAGUAGGAGUAAAAGAUUUGUGUGUGUGUGUGGUACCAGGGAUUGGACCCGGGUCCUUGCACUUGUGAGGCAGGCGGCAGAACCACUGAGCUAAAUCCCUGGCCCUAGGAGUAAAAGUUGAAAGGUGAGCUUUGCAGCCAUAUGAGUGUUUAGCAAUGAAAGGGUUUUCUGUGUAGGGAGGAGCAAAUGGGAGGAGAAAGAAAGUGGGAGAGGAAGGUAUGGUAAUUGUGAUAAAAUCCCUGCCUACAACUGAGAGGGUCUUCCCCUGAGGUCAGAUUGUUGUUAGUGUGACAGUAAAGAAUUGUUGUGUCCUGGCUCAGUGUGAGAAGGUGUCAAAUAUCUCCGUGUUAAGAAAGGAGAAGUUGGGCUGGGGAUGAAGCCCUGAGUUCCAUUCCAGGUACAAAAAAAAGAAAAGAAAGAGAAGUCUUAGUAAAACUUAGAUAAAUAUGUCUUCUUUUACUACUGAUCAGUUAACCAAAUCAGUCUUUUUUUUUUUUUUUUUUAAGACAGGUGGUUCUAUGUAGUACACGCUAGCCUUGAACUUACUGUGUAGCCCAGGUUUGCCUCCAACUUUUGGCAAUUCUCCUGACUCAGCCUCCCGAGUACUGAGACAUAAGGCCAACACACUCAGUCCUAAUUGUUUUUGAGGAAAUUAAAUGGAAAUUUAAAAAUUGAGCUUGUCUAGAUUAAAAAUUGGUAGAUAUCACCAUCUAAGUGUGAUGGAAAGGGAUUUGUCCAGGA
rnacentral:lncRNA from 1 species